rnacentral:rRNA from 1 species
AAUCAACGCUGGCGGCGUGCCUCAGACAUGCAAGUCGAACGAUUAAAGCUCUCUUCGGAGAGUGCAUAGAGUGGCGCACGGGUGAGUAACACGUAAGUAAUCUACCUUCGAGUGGGGAAUAACGUCCGGAAACGGACGCUAAUACCGCAUAAUGCAGCGGCAUCGCAAGAUGACAGUUGUUAAAGAAUUUAUUCGCUUGAAGAGGAGCUUGCGGCAGAUUAGCUAGUUGGUAAGGUAAUGGCUUACCAAGGCUACGAUCUGUAACCGGUCUAAGAGGACGGUCGGUCACACUGACACUGAAUAACGGGUCAGACUCCUACGGGAGGCAGCAGUCGGGAAUUUUGGGCAAUGGGCGAAAGCCUGACCCAGCAACGCCGCGUGAAGGAUGAAGUAUUUCGGUAUGUAAACUUCGAAAGAAUGGGAAGAAUCAAUGACGGUACCAUUUAUAAGGUCCGGCUAACUACGUGCCAGCAGCCGCAGUAAG